UACGUAGGAUGCAAGCGUUGUCCGGAAUUAUUGGGCGUAAAGAGCGCGCAGGCGGUAUGACAAGUCAGAUGUGAAAGAGGCCGGCUUAACCGGCAAGGGUCAUUUGAAACUGUCAGACUAGAGUGCAGCAGAGGAUAGUGGAAUUCCCGGUGUAGUGGUGAAAUGCGUAGAUAUCGGGAGGAACACCAGUGGCGAAGGCGACUAUCUGGGCUGCAACUGACGCUGAGGCGCGAAGUCUAGGGUAGCAAACAGG
rnacentral:rRNA from 1 species